rnacentral:rRNA from 1 species
ACCAGACUCCUACGGGAGGCAGCAGUGGGGGAUAUUGCACAAUGGGGGGAACCCUGAUGCAGCGACGCCGCGUGGGUGAAGGAGCGUUUCGGCGCGUAAAGCCCUAUCGGCAGGGAAGAAGGAGGACGGUACCUGACUAAGAAGCCCCGGCUAACUACGUGCCAGCAGCCGCGGUAAUACGUAGGGGGCGAGCGUUAUCCGGAUUCACUGGGUGUAAAGGGAGCGUAGACGGCCAUGCAAGCCAGGGGUGAAAGCCCGGGGCCCAACCCCGGGACUGCCCUUGGAACUGCAUGGCUGGAGUGCGGGAGGGGCAGGCGGAAUUCCUGGUGUAGCGGUGAAAUGCGUAGAUAUCAGGAGGAACACCGGCGGCGAAGGCGGCCUGCUGGACUGCGACUGACGUUGAGGCCCGAAAGCGUGGGGAGCAAACAGGAUUAGAUACCCUCGUAUC